rnacentral:rRNA from 1 species
GAUGAACGCUAGCGGCAGGCUUAAUACAUGCAAGUCGAGGGGCAGCAUGACUGUAGCAAUACAGUUGAUGGCGACCGGCAAACGGGUGCGGAACACGUACAGAACCUUCCUUCGAGCGGGGAAUAGCCCAGAGAAAUUUGGAUUAAUACCCCAUAGUAUUACGGAGUGGCAUCACUUUGUAAUUAAAGAUUUAUCACUUGAAGAUGGCUGUGCGGCUGAUUAGGUAGUUGGCGGGGUAACGGCCCACCAAGCCUGCGAUCAGUAACUGGUGUGAGAGCACGACCAGUCACACGGGCACUGAGACACGGGCCCGACUCCUACGGGAGGCAGCAGUAAGGAAUAUUGGUCAAUGGACGAAAGUCUGAACCAGCCAUGCCGCGUGGAGGAUGAAGGUCCUCUGGAUUGUAAACUUCUUUUAUAUGGGACGAAAAAAGGCUUUUCUAAGUCGUCUGACGGUACCAUAUGAAUAAGCACCGGCUAACUCCGUGCCAGCAGCCGCCGUAAAAC